rnacentral:rRNA from 1 species
GACAGAGGUGGCAAGCGUUGUUCGGAAUUACUGGGCUUAAAGGGCGCGUAGGCGGUGGAGUAAGUCUGAGGUGGAAGAUUAGGGCUUAACCCUAAAAUUGCCUUGGAAACUGCAUCACUUGAGUCAGCGAGGGGAUGGCGGAAUUCCAGGUGUAGCGGUGAAAUGCGUAGAUAUCUGGAGGAAGGCCGGUGGCGAAGGCGGCCAUCUGGCGCUGAACUGACGCUGAGGCGCGAAAGCGUGGGGAGCAAACAGG